AUGCCGGUGGCUUAGUGGUUAACGCGCCUGCCUCGUACCUGCAGGGCUCAGGGUUCAACUCCUGCCUCCGCCCUG